rnacentral:misc_RNA from 1 species
GAUGAAGAACGCAGCGAAAUGCGAUAAGUAAUGCGAAUUGCAGAAUUUCCGUGAGUCAUCGAAUCUUUGAACGCACAUUGCGCCCCUUGGUAUUCCGGGGGGCAUGCCUGUUCGAGCGUCAUUAUAACCCCUCAAGCUCAGCUUGGUGUUGGGGCCUGCCGACUGGCAGCCCUUAAAAUCAGUGGCGGCGCCAUCUGGCUCUAAGCGUAGUAAUUUCUCUCGCUAUAGAGUCCCGGUGGAUGCUUGCCAGCAACCCCCAACUUUCUAUGGUUGACCUCGGAUCAGGUAGGGAUACCCGCUGAACUUAAGCAUAUCAAUAAGCGGAGGA